rnacentral:rRNA from 1 species
GCGGGAAGAGCACAAAUUUAUAAUCUGGCACCUUCGGUGUCCGAGUUGUAAUCUCUAGAAAUGUUUUCCGCGCUGGACCGCACACAAGUCUGUUGGAAUACAGCGGCAUAGUGGUGAGACCCCCGUAUAUGGUGCGGACGCCCAGCGCUUUGUGAUACAUUUUCGAAGAGUCGAGUUGUUUGGGAAUGCAGCUCAAAUUGGGUGGUAAAUUCCAUCUAAAGCUAAAUAUUGGCGAGAGACCGAUAGCGAACAAGUACCGUGAGGGAAAGAUGAAAAGCACUUUGGAAAGAGAGUUAACAGUACGUGAAAUUGUUGGAAGGGAAACGCUUGAAGUCAGACUUGCUUGCCGAGCAAUCGGUUUGCAGGCCAGCAUCAGUUUUCCGGGAUGGAUAAUGGUAGAGAGAAGGUAGCAGUUUCGGCUGUGUUAUAGCUCUCUGCUGGAUACAUCUUGGGGGACUGAGGAACGCAGUGUGCCUUUGGCGGGGGUUUCGACCUCUUCACACUUAGGAUGCUGGUGGAAUGGCUUUAAACGAC